rnacentral:tRNA from 1 species
GCCUCGGUAGCGUAGUGGAUGACGCGGAUGCCUUCUAAGCAUUUACAGGCAGGUUCGAUUCCUGUCCGAGGUAC